AUUGAACGCUGGCGGCAUGCCUUACACAUGCAAGUCGAACGGCAGCACGGGAGCAAUCCUGGUGGCGAGUGGCGAACGGGUGAGUAAUAUAUCGGAACGUGCCCGGUCGUGGGGAUAACGUAGCGAAAGCUACGCUAAUACCGCAUAUGAUCUACGGAUGAAAGCGGGGGAUCGCAAGACCUCGCGCGAUUGGAGCGGCCGAUAUCAGAUUAGGUAGUUGGUGAGGUAAAGGCUCACCAAGCCGACGAUCUGUAGCUGGUCUGAGAGGACGACCAGCCACACUGGGACUGAGACACGGCCCAGACUCCUACGGGAGGCAGCAGUGGGGAAUAUUGGACAAUGGGCGAAAGCCUGAUCCAGCCAUGCCGCGUGUGUGAAGAAGGUCUUCGGAUUGUAAAGCACUUUAAGUUGGGAGGAAGGGUAGUAACCUAAUACGUUGCUACUUUGACGUUACCGACAGAAUAAGCACCGGCUAAC
rnacentral:rRNA from 1 species